ACUUGAAAGAGGACCUGGCAGCUGUGUUUAGUCACGGCCCUGGGUUAAAUGACCUCUCAGGCAAAGUCUCAAUGCAGUAAAGACAAAGUGGGGGUGCUUGGGUGGAAUGGGGGUGGGGGUCUAAACCCUCGCCCUUCCUCCCCCCACCCGCCCUUAGGGGAGGGGCUCUCCAAGCGCUGCUCCACGUGGAACAUUCUGAGAAUCCCCCAGGGCCUGGGGCCGCUGGGGUGUGGGAGGGCGGGGAGAGAGCGUGCGCCCUGCACAGUGAGGUCGUGGCGCCCGGCACCUGCCACCUGUGACUGGGAUGAAGGGCUCGAUCAGAACCUGUCUGCCGGUUUCCCCGUGCGACGAUUAACCACCACCCCCUCCAUAACCCGUGUGUUUUCCAGAUGACGUAACUACGGCUUUGGGAUGUUACGCAACGAGUAAGGCCUUGUGAGUCUUCACAGAAAGGGACUGGCCUGGAGGCUCCGAGCGGUCAGCUAGUUCCCGUCACUGUUCUCCCCGGGAAGCUGUGGAUGGGCAGUGACCCAGGCAGGGAAAGGGAGAUAGAGAUGAAUCUACAAAAUGGAAAAAGUGUUGAACUUGGGAGUCAAGAGACCAGGAUUCUAGUUCUGAUGAUGCCCUUCACAUACCGAAUGCCCUGGGGAAGCCGCUUCCCUUCUCUCAGCCUUGGGUUCUCCAUGUGUCAAAUUAGGCUGUGGAAAAAGAAACACUCAUCUGGCUGAACGGAGACAUGAGCCUCUGUAAACUGAUUCUUCCUCCACAAAGGGGCCCUGGCCCUCACAGCCCCAUCCUCUUUCAUCCUUGCUGCCUGAUCCUAGGGAAGCUUUGCUCUGGUGGUGCCUGGAGCUGUGAUGUAUGCAGUCAUUUGAAACCCCAGCUUUGUGGAAGACACGAGACAUUGAUUUUUACUCUACCAUUUGGAGAAAAAUCAUUUUUAUAUUAGCAGAAAUGUUGAUAGACAAGGAGCAAAGUUUAAGGUUGGAAUGACUUUAAGAUUCAUUCAUUUUUUAAAAAUUUAUACUUAUUGAGUGCUUACUAUGUGCCAGCCCUGUCCUAGGCCCUUGGGGACUGGUUGGUAAAUAAAGCAGAUAGAGUAGUCGAUAAUGCCUGAUAUAGUUUGGAUGACUGUCCCCUCCAAAUCUCAUGUUGAAAUGUAAUCCCAAUAUUGGAGGCGGGGCUUGGUGGGAGGUGUUUGGGUCUCGUGGGUGGACCCUCAUGAAUGGCUGGGUGCUGUCCUAGAGGCGGUGAGUGCGUUCUCAUGAGAUCUGGUUGUCUAAAAACAUGUGGCACCUGCCCCCUCUCUCUCUCGCUUCCACUCUCACCAUGUGACACCCAGCUCCUGCUUCACCUUCCACUGUGAUUAAAAGCUUUCUGAGGCCCUCACCAGAUGCUGAUGCCAGCACUAUGCUCCCUGUACAGUCUGUAGGACCAUGAGCCAAUUAAACUUUUUUUUCUUUUCUUUUCUCUUCUCUUCUCUUCUUCUCUUUUCUUUUUGAGAUGGAGCCUUGCUCUGUCACCCAGGCUGGAGUGCAGUAGCGCCAUCUCAGCUCACUCCAACUUCUGCCUCCUGGGUUCAAGCGAUUCUCCUGCCUCAGCCUCCCAAGUAGCUGGGACUACAUGUGUGUGCUACCACGACCAGCUAAUUUUUUAUGGGUUUCACCAUGUUAGCCAGGAUGGUCUCAAUCUCCUGACCUCGUGAUCCACCCUCCUCGGCCUCCCAACGUGCUGGGAUUAUAGGCGUGAGCCACUGCACCCAGCCAAUUUCUAGUGUUUUCUUUUGAUUCUUUCUUAGAGUUUCCAUCUCUGAGCUUACAUUAACUCUAUGUCCUUGCAGUAGAAUCCUGCAUGUAUUAAUCAUAGUCAUUUUAAAUUCCCUGUCUGAUCAUUCCAGCAUUUGCAUCAUAUCCAGAUCUGGUUCUGGUGCUUGCUCAUUUCUUCAGACUUUGCUUUUUCUUGCCUUUUAGCAUAGCUUAUAACAUUUUUUGAAAGCCAAAAAUGAUGUAAUUGAGUAAUAGAAACUGAUGUAAAUAGCCCAUCAGUGUGAGAUUUAUGUUAAUCUGGCUAGAAGUUGGGCCAUGUAUAAUGUUUUCUGUAUGCUGGGGCUUAGAAACCAAUACCCCAAAAUACGGCAUUUUGACAUGCUGAGCUGAAGAAGCUUCCAGGUCUCUCUGACCUCCCUCAUCACUUUCUCUGCCAUAUAACUUGAAGUUCCUUUAUCUGCCUAUCUACUGUGGAAAAUGAGUCCAACAACCUAAGCACACCUGAACAGACACGUUACAGGUACAGUGACUGUCUCAGAGUCCUGAAUCGAUUCACUCUUCCUAGUAAUCCUCUCAAGAGAAUUCCUCUUCUGCCCGCUACCAUAGCCUGUUUGAUCAGGAUGCAAGCCCCCAUUCUAUCGGUAACCUCGAGAUGGUAUACAAGCUUUUGUACAUCACUGGGAGGUUGGGUCUUCAUUCUGAAGGCUCCCAUGUAUACACAUUAAAUAAAUCUGUAUGCCUUUUCUCCCAUU
rnacentral:lncRNA from 1 species